AAGAACUGUCAACCGUAUAGCGUUGAUGGACUGAAAAUAAGUCAAUGCCCACCAUCCACGAAGAAGCGCCACACCAGAUAGUGCUGAAGGACUGGAAACUGAAAUGAGAGAAAAACAGAAUCGAACAGGUUGAUUAUCCAAUGAAAUGUAAUUUGAAUAAACUUGUAGAUACCCAAUGUAGCAAAACAAAAUUACCUAAUAUGUAGAUAUCCCAACCCUACUUAUGAAAAACAGACAUAAGGACAG